GAUCCUGGCUUAGGAUGAACGCUGGCGGCGUGCCUAAUACAUGCAAGUCGAACGCUAAUCCUCGGAUUAGAGUGGCGAACGGGUGAGUAACACGUAGGUAACCUGCCCAUAAGACGAGGAUAACUACUGGAAACGGUAGCUAAUACUGGAUAGUAUAUAGAAUCGCAUGAUUUUAUAUUUAAAGGUGCUGCAAGGCACUACUUAUGGAUGGACCUGCGGCGCAUUAGCUAGUUGGUGAGGUAACGGCCCACCAAGGCGACGAUGCGUAGCCGGACUGAGAGGUUGAACGGCCACAUUGGGACUGAGACACGGCCCAGACUCCUACGGGAGGCAGCAGUAGGGAAUUUUCGGCAAUGGACGCAAGUCUGACCGAGCAACGCCGCGUGAAGUGAUGAAGUUCUUCGGAACGUAAAAUUCUUUUAUUUGGAAAAAACGUAUAGUGUAGGAAAUGACAUUAUAGUGAUGGUACCAAAUGAAUAAGCCCCGGCUAACUAUGUGCCAGCCGCCGC
rnacentral:rRNA from 1 species